ACAUCAUAUUAACUUAAGCCCAACUAAAAUAAAUUAAUAUCUCUGUCGUUUCUUUUCUUUUUCCUCACUAACGUCUCUCUCUCUCUGCGCUCUCUCUCUCUCUCACCGCUCUUCUCUCUCUCUUUAUCGGCGAGCAUCGCCGGUUCUCGCCGCCUCCGGCGUGGCGAGGCCGGCCCCUCUUCUGCCCUCUCCUUUCCUUCCCUAUUUUCUCCCCAAAUUCUAAAACCCCCAAAUUCUAGGGUUUUCUGGCUCUAUUUUUCCUUCUGAAAUCCACCCCUCCGGCAAGGUCCGUCGCCGUCUUCAGCCCAGGAAUUGAUCGGCGUCGUCGACUCCGGCGUGGCAGCUUCGUCUACUGCCCAAGAUUCUACCUUUUCUUCCUUUCUUUUUAUUAUUGAUUCGUUGUGAAACUGAAGUAUAAGGAUGAUGGGGAAACUGGAAAUUAGAACUAGAAAUGUGUUUGUAGCUAUGCUUGUAUCUAUUUAGUGUAUCUACUCUGUUCUUGUUUACUGUUGUAUACAUAUAUGAUGAAUGAACUGUAAUAAAGAGAUACUACCUGCUUGGUGAUUGAA